rnacentral:rRNA from 1 species
CCUACGGGAGGCAGCAGUGGGGAAUUUUGGACAAUGGGCGAAAGCCUGAUCCAGCAAUGCCGCGUGAGUGAAGAAGGCCUUCGGGUUGUAAAGCUCUUUUGUCAGGGAAGAAACGGUGUGGGCUAAUAUCCCGCACUAAUGACGGUACCUGAAGAAUAAGCACCGGCUAACUACGUGCCAGCAGCCGCGGUAAUACGUAGGGUGCAAGCGUUAAUCGGAAUUACUGGGCGUAAGGCGUGCGCAGGCGGUUUUGUAAGUUUGUCGUGAAAGCCCCGGGCUCAACCUGGGAAUUGCGAUGAAGACUGCAAGGCUUGAAUCUGGCAGAGGGGGGUAGAAUUCCACGUGUAGCAGUGAAAUGCGUAGAGAUGUGGAGGAACACCGAUGGCGAAGGCAGCCCCCUGGGUCAAGAUUGACGCUCAUGCACGAAAGCGUGGGGAGCAAACAGGAUUAGAUACCCUGGUAGUCCACGCCCUAAACGAUGUCUACUAGUUGUCGGGUUUUAAUUAACUUGGUAACGCAGCUAACGCGUGAAGUAGACCGCCUGGGGAGUACGGUCGCAAGNUUAAAACUUAAAGGAAUUGACGGCUGAGAGNGCGAGACGACGACGAGGGAGAGG